UACGGAGGGUGCAAGCGUUAUCCGGAUUCACUGGGUUUAAAGGGCGCGUAGGUGGUUUUGUAAGUCAGUGGUGAAAGCCCGGAGCUCAACUCCGGAACUGCCAUUGAUACUGCUUAACUUGAAUCAACUUGAGGUGGAUGGAAUAUUACAUGUAGCGGUGAAAUGCUUAGAUAUGUAAUAGAACACCGAUUGCGAAGGCAGUUCACUAAGGUUGUAUUGACACUGAGGCACGAAAGCGUGGGGAUCAAACAGG
rnacentral:rRNA from 1 species